AUUCAAAUAGUUUAAUUAAAAAUAUUAAUUUGUGGGGUUAAAGAUAUAAUAUUAUUUUGAAUA
rnacentral:tRNA from 1 species